GGGGAUGUACUGGUUUCGAUCUGAUUCGAACAGAGACAUAGCGCAUGCAAGGGAUGAUGGUUGGCCCUUUCAAACACCCAUCGAAACAUCAUGCCAAUAACGUGAUCGCUCGCAUUGUCGGUUCCGUGAAGAACGCCUGGGCUUCGGUCAAGGCUGCCUUUGCUCUGCCGGCUCCUGCACAGCUCGCCUUCGCCUAAUCAUGGUGAAGCCAUCCUCCGGGGACUCCUGAUUACCGGGACGGAUGCAUUAUCAGGGUUACGCCAUAGGGUCCACAGUACCGGCGUAAUACACAGUGGAUAAAUUCCUCACUCCCUUGUUCAUUCUGGGUGAAGGUCUUAUUUGAAUGCACUAAGCAUGUAGCGUUGGUCGAGGUUUGCUUCAGAGACCCGGGUUCGACUCCCGGCAUCUCCACCA
rnacentral:tmRNA from 1 species